rnacentral:lncRNA from 1 species
CAAAGCGACUCUGGAUUCUCCAGAGGCCCUAGUUCCAAAAGGCCUAGUACCCUGGCCUUUUCUAUCAGAGAAAAGAUCCUGCCCCAACCCUAUCCUCAGGACUUCAGCCCAGUGGAAACUGAGAAGUUAUCUUGCUGACCCGGCCUCUUGGAGGAGACCCUGAUCCCUAGCCUUGGAAUCCUGCCUUUUUACCCUUGACAGGUCCCUGAAGAUGGCUCUGAUGGUCUUCUUGUAACAGAUGGGAGCAGCUCCCCAUUGUCAUGUUCCAGCACUUACUUCUUACUGGCGCCUGAGACUAGAGGAGGACUGCGUACAGGAAUGGGGCAUGUGUCAAGUCUGUCAGGAGAGGAGCUGUCGCAAAGCCCGUGCACUGUUUUGCAGGAAACAGCCAGGCUCUGGCAAGGCUGCAGCGGAAAUGGAGUCUAGAAUUGUCCCUGGAUUUGUUGUUCUUUUCUCCUGGAAUCCUUGCAGGCUGCAUCCUAGCAAUUGCAAAAGUGGGUGUUCAUGGGUUGGGAUACCAGGAGUUUCUGGCAAGCACCCUUUAGAAGCAAGACUGAAAGGACAUGUUUGAGGUCCUUCUGUGCUAAGACUGCCUGCCAUUGAAGUACUGACUCCAACCCCCUCCAGGCUACUGUUUGCAGCCCAGCUCAGUACUCAAGUCA